rnacentral:tRNA from 1 species
UGGCNAAAAAAGGACUUUAACCUCUGUCAUUGGAGCUACAAACCACCGCCA